rnacentral:lncRNA from 1 species
CUUUGGAUGGCUGUAGUCUGCUGCAUCAAAAUCAGCAAAAGCUACACCAGCAGUGCUUACACCAGAAAAUCCUCCAAAUUCUCCAAAUUCAUCUUCAUCAUCAUCAUCAGCUCCAUUGUCUAGCGGUGGAGGGGAUGAGGAGUACAUUCGAAUAAUAUCUGGUUCCAUUGUUUAGUUCCACUUCAAAGUUAAUAUAUUUCUGAGGGCUGCGCAGCAGGCGGCGGGGCCCGGGCGGGCAUGGCGGCGGUGGGGAAGAGGCGCGGGGACGCGGCCGGUUACCUGAGGCCUCCCGCGGCAGCCGCCAUCGAGGGGGAACCCAUGUCACGGCGACAGGAACAGCGUCGCGGCGGCCCGGCCCCCUCCCGGCGGCCACCUCCUCCUGCCCUGCCGCCACCGCCCACUUGGCCCCGCUCUUCCCGUCAGCCCCCGCACUGCCACCGCCCUUGGAACCGGCGUCACUCCCAGCAACGGCCGCGAGAACGCGAAGAAAUAAAAAAGCGAGAUGGGGCAAUCAUCGUUCCACUUUUCACGUCUCUGUGUGACCAGAGGGUAAACAUCUUGAACUUCAGAGUCUGCAUACCACCUAAUCCCGAGGGAGUCCCCAGGGCCUGUCUGCAUUGAGCUGAAACCUCAGUUCUUAAGCAUCAGGAUCUGCCAGAUUUACAGCCUUCAAAGAGUAGGAUAGACAACAGCCCAGUUCAUCGGCACAGGCGUGAAGAACUGCACACAGAAAAGGAACAGGGCAGCCUUCCUACUAUAGUUGUGUCCAGAGCUGGCUGUCACUUCUCCACACAGACGAUGGCACCUGAGCCGGUUUGGAAUCUACAGUUCUAACAAGUUCAGCCAAGUUUUGUAAGCUGAAGAUCUCCGUUUAUCUUUAUUGUGUCAAUUGCUGACAGUGUUUCAAUACGGUGGUAAAAAUCAAAGAGCUGAUGUCCAUCCACAAAUAUUCUAAAACGGGGAUGCUCACAAAGUAUCUCAACCUGUAAAAAAUAAAAUGAUGAACCGUGUUCACAACGUAACUGGGAAGUUAUUUCACAGGAUGCAAAGAGCACCGGAUUAGCCUUUAAGCAGCGUUGGUAUGGUUACACAUCUUGCUACUUGCACGCCACGUAGCAGAGAAAGCUGAGCCCCCUUUGCCCCCACGACCCCAGUUACACUACAAGGGAUCUGCUCGCACUUCACAGAGAUGUUAAUCCAGCCUCACACAGCCAGGGUGGGGAGGACCCCCAAACCCUGAUGCACAGCUCUGCAGAUUAUGGUCCUGCUGGCACCAGGGAGGUUUUCUCUCUGUGAAUAAUGCCAGAAGCAAACUGCUAAUUAAAGGUAUAUCCAACCCAAAUCUUGCAUUCCUGGCUACAGAUGUUUGUUUGUUUUUUUUUUCCCGGCAGAAUGAGGGGGCAGCUCCCUCUGCAGUGUUUUCCAUGCUGCCAUUAAUUCAGUGGAAGAGAGCAAACAUGAGAGGGAUAGGUUUGCCCUCCACUCCCACACGCCAGAACUGCACUUACACAGCUGCUGUGCAACUAAAAAGCUUCUGCUGUGGCGACUGCACACAGGACUGCCUGCUGGACUAGGGGCUGCAGUGAGGGAGACGUAGCACAGGACAGCUUAAAUACAGCCAGACAGCCCACACAAGGCACAGCCUGCACAAGGGAAGGAUAAAGCUCAUCUCUCGUCCUACGGCCCUGGAGAAAUAAUCUAGAAAAGCCACAAGGAGAGGAGCUAGACCACUCGUUCUGGAUAAAUAUUCCUGAUAUCGAGGGUGGCUUGAUGCCUUGAGGAUAAGCUUUGCUAGAGCUGCCCCAUCAGGAAGCCAAGACGAGAAGGCACAAAACAUGCAUUUUUUGUAUGCGCCCUCAUAGACCUCCAGGUCUGGAAAGGCUGAGAAGCGAAUCUGCAGGGAAGCCAUGUGCAAAUCCUGGGUUGUUUCUGAGGCCGGUAGUCUGGAGCAAAGUGAGUGAUAAACUGAGCGAGUCGAAGUGCGUCUGAUUUAGGGCAUAUCAUACUGAGGAAGUAGCAGCAGACUGCCCACAGGACCUGGUAGCG